rnacentral:lncRNA from 1 species
UCAUAUAUUAACAAGAGAAUAUACUCAUGAAAGGAAGAAAUCAUAUAUUAGAUAAAACUGUUGGAUUACAAUGGUGGAUAUUACACGAGGAAAAUCAUCCAAAUCCAAAUGGGAUGUAUAAUCUAAAUGUUUACUUGACGGCGAAACUUAAAUUGAGAGCAUCCAUCAACAUCCCUACAACUUAACUAAACCAUAAUCGAGGAACAUCGUUCACAGGAACAUCAUCCCUACUAUUUAACUAAAACUAAAAGCAUCCGUCUUCAUCAUCAUGAAUAGGAACAUCAUCAUCAUUGCAGUACACUUGCCACACACACCCAUAUAAUCAUCCAUUUAUCUUUUGAAUCUACAAAGAAAAAAACAAAAUGAAGUGUUAACACAAAAUGCAUUGACAUGAUGCAAGUAGUGAUAGAGCGAGGAUAUUAGUCACUUACAAAGGUUGGCAUGCAAAAAAAUCUGCAUUACAAAGAGUAUUGCAGUUUUUCUUCACCCGAGGUAAUCUUACGAUCGCUUCAUAAACAAAUUACGUUUGGAGUACAAAUAGUUACAUUCAUAUUGAUUCACUACGUAAAAUUUGGUAUAAGAAAACAAAAAAAGUAGGUUAUAAGGCCAAAAAUAUCGCAUUUUUAUGUAUGUUUUUACGUUCGUAACUUUACAUAACAUAAAAUAUUUUUUACGGCGAGUAUAUAUUUUCUUACGUUCUCUUUUUACGUAUGAAAUAAGACAAAAUUUACGAAACCUAAAAAUACGGUGCAUUGAUGUCAAAAUAGAGAGGGGGUGAAGAAUAACUAUUCCUCACCCAAGGUGAUGAAUAGUAUAUAUAUAGUGAUAGUUGUAGGCAUCCAAAAAACAAUAUUGAAUGUGGUCUAAUAAAUAAUAAUUGAAGACUACAGAUGGACCGUGCCAAUAACUAAAUAUAUAGAAACAAUUGACAUUUUGGAAUGGGAAUUCUUUGCAUUUAGUUAAUAAAAUUUUCUUUUUAUUUUUGCAAUCUAUCAGUACAUGACUUCAUGAUGUAUCAGAGACAUGGAAAUAUUUAUAAAGUUGCCAUAUGCUACAAAUUUACUUCUUUUUUCCCCAUGGUGUGUAUUCUUCCUUAUAAAGGAAAAGCACAUCAAGAGAAUAAAGGAGUUAUAUUACGCAUGUAGGCAAGAAUAGUAUAAAGAGGAAGCAUGGAUCACAAAAGAAGUGUCUAGAUUUGGCAAACCAGUAGAGAGAACCCUGUAGGUAUAUGUUGUUAAUAAUAGGAGAAGGGGGCAUCAAUCAAAUUCCAAAAGCCAAGUGAAUAAAUGGAAAACAUCCAUGGUUUUGUAUUCCUGGAACACAAUCUAAUUAAACUUAUCUUUCAAAAAUAGAGAAGUCAGGUAAGUUGUAAUAGCUGUACAAUUUUAUAUAACAUGUCACUUGACUAAAUAAGUACUACUCGUCUCAUCGUAGUUUUAUAAGAUUCCUUUCUCUUCUACUGUAUUUAGGGAAUACACAGUAAAGAUUUGCUAUCAUAAAUCAUAAGUAAAUCGCAAGAUCUGCUUGCAUAGAAAAAAAUCAAUAUGACAUUAAGCUCACAUAAACAUCUUUUUAAAUGGCAAGCAUAGCUCGUGGUAGAUGUACUCAAUGAUAUUUCUAGAGUUUUGAGACAAGCAACAUUGAUUGAUCACCAGAUUACCUUCCUUACGCUCUUGAACUCCAACUGUAAUGGAGAGAAAGCCUGCUCUGAGUGCUAAUGUCCUUCUCAGAUCGAACAAGUACUCAGCCUUGCCAUGCCCUGCACCAAUGUCCUUCUCCCCCAGCGUCGCAGCGGCCUACUCGACCGAGCUACGAAAAGCUGUCAAGCUGCACCUCAGUUUGUAGUAGCAGAGAACAUACAGAUCUAAGUGGUCUUUUAAGAGAAUGAAAAUAUGUAAAAAAACUUACUGAACUGUGCCUCAAAUAAAAGAGAGGGAGAAAUUUGAUACUGUAACUUGCUCUGAAGUCUAGAAAAGAAAUAUGACCAUAUGACACAGUGACUGAUCAUGCCUACAACAUAAGCAAGUGGCACCAUAAGCAGAAAGUGGAACUUUGAAUCGUCAUCAUCAACCAUGGGACUAACACAAGCAGCCUUAUUAUACAAUCAGUCGAUCGCAUAAUCAAGCAACCAAUGAUUGCACAAUCAAAUUUCACUUCCAUGGGCUCGUGACAG